UGCCCGGUGCUCGAAGGUUAAUUGAUGGGGUUAGCAUUAGCGAAGCUCUUGAUCGAAGACCGAGUAAACGGCUGCCGUAACUAAACAGGUCCUAAGGUAGCGAAAUUCCUUGUCGGUUAAAUACCGACCUGCAUGAAUGGCGUAACGAGAUGGGAGCUGUCUCUAAGAGGGAUCCAGUGAAAUUGUAGUGGAGGUGAACAUUCCUGCUACCCGCGGCAAGACGGAAAGACACCGUG
rnacentral:rRNA from 1 species